rnacentral:rRNA from 1 species
UUCUGCGGAAUCCCUUCGGGGAGGAAGUAGUUAUGACUGAGUGGCGGACGGGUGAGUAACGCGUGGGCAACCUGCCCCAUACCGGGGGACAACAGCUGGAAACGGCUGCUAAUACCGCAUACGUUUCGGAAACCGCAUGGUUUCUGGAAGAAAACUCCGGUGGUAUGGGAUGGGCCCGCGUCUGAUUAGCUGGUUGGCGGGGUAACGGCCCACCAAGGCGACGAUCAGUAGCCGGCCUGAGAGGGUGGCCGGCCACAUUGGGACUGAGACACGGCCCAGACUCCUGCGGGAGGCAGCAGUGGGGAAUAUUGCACAAUGGGGGAAACCCUGAUGCAGCGACGCCGCGUGAGCGAGGAAGUACCUCGGUAUGUAAAGCUCUAUCAGCAGGGAAGAAAGUGACAGUACCUGACUAAGAAGCCCCGGCUAACUACGUGCCAGCAGCCGCGGUAAUACGUAGGGGGCAAGCGUUAUCCGGAUUCACUGGGCGUAAAGGGAGCGCAGGCGGCACGGCAAGUCUGAUGUGAAAACCCAGGGCUCAACCCUGGGACUGCAUUGGAAACUGCCGGGCUGGAGUGUCGGAGGGGUAAGCGGAAUUCCUAGUGUAGCGGUGAAAUGCGUAGAUAUUAGGAGGAACACCAGUGGCGAAGGCGGCUUACUGGACGACUACUGACGCUGAGGCUCGAAAGCGUGGGGAGCAAACAGGAUUUAGAUACCCUGGUAGUCCACGCCGUAAACGAUGAAUACCAGGUGUCGGCGGGCACGGCCCGCC